UCCCUGGUAGUAUAUCGGAUUAGUACACGCGCCUGUCAUUGAGCUGCCGCGCGCAGCGGAGCGCGCGCGAGAGCGGGGUUCGACUCCCCGCCAGGGAG